rnacentral:SRP_RNA from 1 species
GGAGGUUGGUGGUGGACGAGCCACUCGCCAACCGGGUCAGGUCCGGAAGGAAGCAGCCCUAACGAGCCCGGCAUGGGUCAUCGUGCCAGCCUCCCAC